rnacentral:lncRNA from 1 species
GUAAUUUGUGGAUUUAAACGGGAUCGUUUCUACACAAUGUUUCUCCUGUUUCACACGUCAGGGAUGUUGAGAAUCUCAGCGCCGUUUCAUCUGGUUUCAAGCUCGUAUAAAUCAGUAGUUUGUGUUUUGUAUCGGAGAACUAUAGUCUCAGAUGCUUCACACUGGACCUCACAGCUCUGUUUAUAACUGUCACGUGAUUGAUAGCGGUCAGUAUUUGCGCUGAGCUUUCUUCCGGUUCAAAGUUGUGCGGUUUCGUUCCGCUUUUGCUGUUUAAAUGCUUCUCAUACACAACACAAAUUGCAGCGCCUAUCUGGCACCCGUUCGAUCGCUAACACAAGUCUCACUAGAAAAAAAAUCCUUGCAAAAUGCGACCUACUAGUCACAGUCUGGAGCACUGACUUUUCCAAAUAACUUGUCAAACUGGUUUAAUAUCUACUCUGACAUCGAACGCUGACUUGUGGAGCAUAGUUGUUUUAGCAAAACAAAAGACAGGACAGAACUACGCAUAUAGCGUUUUCUAAACUAACUGGUUGUAAGUAAAACCUUAUUUCUAUUCUUAGUUUUGUUGAUAGGGUAACUUGAGUAACAGGCUACAUUUAUUUGACUUUAGGUUGUACGAUGCAAUUGACCAACACAAAACCCAUCUUGCUCUUCACACUGAUUCUGCUAUUUCACACUGUACAAGAAGAAGCUUCUCAUGAAGAUGAAGUGAGGAUCCUGGUUGUAGGAAUCCGAGGUCAGUCCAGAUUCAGUGCUGCAGAUCUUCUGUCAGGAAGGAAAGACGGUGGACAGGAGGACAGAGAGAUUGUAAAGACUCCAGUAAUUACAGACGAGGCUCGUAGAAUGAUGCUGGUCACUGGACCAAACCUCUGUGAGGAGGACACAGCGAGACAGACCUUCACAACAGCGCUGUUUCUCUCGUCUCCUGGACCUCACGCCGUUUUAAUGCUCCUGAAUCUGGACGAUCAACAAUCACAACAGUGUGAUAUUGUGAAACGAGCCCAGGAGCUGCUGGGAGCAGAAGUCCUGCAGUACUGCAUUGUUCUUCUGCUCCAAAAUCACCAGGAACGUUUCACAGGAGCGUCCAGAGGGAUUGCUGGAGAAAUGAUCAACG